rnacentral:lncRNA from 1 species
AAUCAUUCAUCUUUGCACUACAGGCCAAAGAUAUUCAUCAAGUAUCACCAUUUAAGACCGAGGAUGAUGAAAAAUAUCUUAAAGAAACGAAUCCAGUGAGAUAAAAGGGCAAAGAUUAGGAAUUCAUACUUUAGUUCAUCCAAGUUCAAAAAUACUCCAUAAUAAUCAAUUAUGGAGCAAAAUUCAAGAAUGAAGAUCAAAACAUGGAUACAAUCAAAUAUAGUAACCAUAAUAGACAACUUGGACAAAGAAGAGAAAAUUUCAUUUUUACUGUGAAUAGUGCCAUAUUUGUGAAUAGUAUCGUAUACGUGAAUAGUAA